CGGGGUAUGGCGCAGCUUGGUAGCGCACCUGCUUUGGGAGCAGGGGGUCGUGGGUUCGAAUCCCCCUACCCCGACCA
rnacentral:tRNA from 2 species